ACGUCUGUAGCUCAGUGGAUAGAGCACUGCCCUCCGGAGGCAGGUGCGGCGGUUCGAUCCCGCCCAGACGUG
rfam:Lachnospiraceae bacterium M18-1 genomic scaffold acPFy-supercont1.3, whole genome shotgun sequence.